GGGCUCAUAGUAUAACGGUAACACACGUCCAUGGCAUGGAUGAGUUCGGGGUUCGAUUCCCCGUGAGUCCACAA
rnacentral:tRNA from 1 species